GCCUGGGUGGCUCAGUCGGUUGAGCGUCUGACUUCAGCUCAGGUCAUGAUCUCACAGCUCGUGAGUUCGAGCCUCGUGUCCGGCU
rnacentral:tRNA from 1 species